rnacentral:lncRNA from 1 species
AAGAAGCAGUAAGCACAGCGGCGGCGGCGGCGGCGGAGGCGGAGGCGGCGGUGCAGACCCUGCCUGGACCAGCGCGCUCUCUGGAAAUAGCUCCGGCCCCGGCCCAGGCUCGUCCCCGGCCGGCAGCACCAAGCCUUUUGUGCACGCCGUGCCCCCCUCUGACCCCCUGCGCCAGGCCAACCGCCUGCCAAUCAAGGUGCUGAAGAUGCUGACGGCACGAACUGGCCACAUUUUGCACCCCGAGUACCUGCAGCCCCUGCCUUCCACGCCGGUCAGCCCCAUCGAGGAGGAGGAUUGACACCAGCCACACGUAUGUCUGCUGCUGACAAAUGUGCGCACGCCUUGGAGGGCGGGGCCAGGCAGGACAGAGCCGCCCAUGACAGGGGGACACCUCCUGUUCUAGAAUUCUUGGACUGAUUAUCCAUCUUGACAAAGGAGGCCUUGAAUCAAAUUUAAUCUGGUUUAGUGCACUUAUCAAAGAGACAUCGGAGAGAUCCCUUGUGCCUUCUGCCAUGUGAGUUAUAGUGAGAAGACAGCCAUCUACUAGGAAUCAGACCGUCAUCAGACACCAAAUCUGCCAGCACCUUGAUCUUAGAUUUCCCAGACUCCAGAACUGUUAGAAAUAAAUUUCUGUUGUUUAUAAGCC